AUCCAGACUCCUACGGGAGGCAGCAGUGGGGAAUAUUGGGCAAUGGGCGCAAGCCUGACCCAGCAACGCCGCGUGAAGGAAGAAGGCUUUCGGGUUGUAAACUUCUUUUCUGAGGGACGAAGAAAGUGACGGUACCUCAGGAAUAAGCCACGGCUAACUACGUGCCAGCAGCCGCGGUAAUACGUAGGUGGCAAGCGUUAUCCGGAUUUACUGGGUGUAAAGGGAGCGUAGGCGGCAGUGCAAGUCAGAAGUGAAAGCCCGGGGCUCAACUCCGGGACUGCUUUUGAAACUGUACAGCUUGAUUGCAGGAGAGGCAAGUGGAAUUCCUAGUGUAGCGGUGAAAUGCGUAGAUAUUAGGAGGAACACCAGUGGCGAAGGCGGCUUGCUGGACUGUAAAUGACGCUGAGGCUCGAAAGCGUGGGGAGCAAACAGGAUUAGAUACCCCAGUAU
rnacentral:rRNA from 1 species